AUUGAACGCUGGCGGCAUGCCUUACACAUGCAAGUCGAACGGCAGCACGGACUUCGGUCUGGUGGCGAGUGGCGAACGGGUGAGUAAUGCAUCGGAACGUACCCGGUAGUGGGGGAUAACUACCCGAAAGGGUGGCUAAUACCGCAUAUACUGUGCGCAGGAAAGCAGGGGACCUUCGGGCCUUGUGCUACCGGAGCGGCCGAUGUCAGAUUAGGUAGUUGGUGGGGUAACGGCCUACCAAGCCUGCGAUCUGUAGCGGGUCUGAGAGGAUGAUCCGCCACACUGGGACUGAGACACGGCCCAUACUCCUACNGGAGGCAGCAGUGGGGAAUUUUGGACAAUGGGCGCAAGCCUGAUCCAGCCAUGCCGCGUGAGUGAAGAAGCCUUCGGGUUGUAAAGCUCUUUCGGACGGAAAGAAAUCGCGCAGGCUAAUACCCUGUGCGGAUGACGGUACCGUCAUAAGAAGCACCNGCUAACUACGUGCCAGCAGCGCGGUAAUACCUAAGGUGCGAGCGUUUAUCGGAAUUACUGGGCGUAAAGCGUGCGCAGCGGGUGAUUAA
rnacentral:rRNA from 1 species